UACGGAGGGUGCAAGCGUUAUCCGGAUUUACUGGGUUUAAAGGGUGCGUAGGUGGAUUUGUAAGUCAGUGGUGAAAUCUCCGGGCUUAACCCGGAAACUGCCAUUGAUACUAUAAGUCUUGAAUUAUCUGGAGGUAAGCGGAAUAUGUCAUGUAGCGGUGAAAUGCUUAGAUAUGACAUAGAACACCCAUUGCGAAGGCAGCUAACUACGCGAUAAUUGACGCUGAUGCACGAAAGCGUGGGGAUCAAACAGG
rnacentral:rRNA from 1 species